AACCCUAACAGGGUAGAAAUUGGAAAUAGAGAGAUUGAGAAGGAUUUGAUAGAAGGAAAAGGAAUAAGGUAGCCAGCAAGAGAGGGGGAAAAAAAACCCUUUUUUUUUAUCUCAAAUAGUUCUGGAAUUUGGGAAAAGUUUAGUUCUCAAGAAAGAAGAAAUAAGGAAAAGGUGGAGGAAGAACAAAAAUUUCAAGAAUUUCAAGAAAAAGAUUUCUUGAAAUGUAGGAAGUUA
rnacentral:misc_RNA from 1 species